GCCAGCUCUGUGUUUUCUUAGAGUAAUCAACUCUCUGACUCAUGUAGUCUAAUAAAAUUGACUUGUUAUUUAUGUCUUCACUUGACUGAUGCAUGGGUAUUCCAUAGACCUUCGAUGUCACAGCUUAAAGACUUCCUCAAAUGCCAACAAGGGACAGAAAGAGUUUAAAUUAUUCUUUCUCUUCAUCUCAUCUAAUAUAACGGAGUGCCAUCUGACUUCAACAUAUUUCUUAUUUCAACUCAGGAUGCAAAUACAUUGCAUUAGCUUGAUUGAAUGGUGGAAAAAUUGUGCGGCAUAAAAUAAAAAAUAGACAAAAAU